GAUGAACGCUGGCGGCGUGCCUAAUACAUGCAAGUCGAGCGAACGGACGAGAAGCUUGCUUCUCUGAUGUUAGCGGCGGACGGGUGAGUAACACGUGGAUAACCUACCUAUAAGACUGGGAUAACUUCGGGAAACCGGAGCUAAUACCGGAUAAUAUUUUGAACCGCAUGGUUCAAAAGUGAAAGACGGUCUUGCUGUCACUUAUAGAUGGAUCCGCGCUGCAUUAGCUAGUUGGUAAGGUAACGGCUUACCAAGGCAACGAUGCAUAGCCGACCUGAGAGGGUGAUCGGCCACACUGGAACUGAGACACGGUCCAGACUCCUACGGGAGGCAGCAGUAGGGAAUCUUCCGCAAUGGGCGAAAGCCUGUCGGAGCAACGCCGCGUGAGUGAUGAAGGUCUUCGGAUCGUAAAACUCUGUUAUUAGGGAAGAACAUAUGUGUAAGUAACUGUGCACAUCUUGACGGUACCUAAUCAGAAAGCCACGGCUAACUACGUG
rnacentral:rRNA from 1 species